rnacentral:lncRNA from 1 species
AUUGCGCAAAAUCAAAGAAAUUGAUGAAAUUAAUUUUGAGGAAUUAGGGUUUGAGAAAAGGGGAAAAGUGUGAAUUCUUCUUUAGAUUGUAUGAUGUCGUUUUUUUCGUGACAAUAAAUUCAACGAAGUACAAUGAAAACCGCCCACUGGAUUUGGGUAAUGGCUUCGGGUUUGAGCUUCUCUCUGUGUUUUUCUAAUUUUCUAAUCUCCCAACACUGUUUACUUUCUGGAAGCUUCUUCUUCCUCCCUUUGUCUUUAACUCAUA